rnacentral:rRNA from 1 species
GAUGAACGCUGGCGGCGUGCCUAAUACAUGCAAGUCGAGCGGCAGCACGGUCUUCGGACUGGUGGCGAGCGGCGGACGGCUGAGUAACGCGUAGGAACGUACCCCAAAGUGAGGGAUAACUGCUCGAAAGAGUAGCUAAUACCGCAUGUGAUCUAAGGAUUAAAGCUUCGGCGCUUUGGGAACGGCCUGCGUCCGAUUAGCUAGUUGGUGAGGUAAAGCUCACCAAGGCGACGAUCGGUAGCUGGUCUGAGAGGAUGAUCAGCCAGACUGGGACUGAGACACGGCCCAGACUCCUACGGGAGGCAGCAGUAGGGAAUUUUCCACAAUGGGCGAAAGCCUGAUGGAGCAACGCCGCGUGCAGGAUGAAUGCCUUAGGGUUGUAAACUGCUUUUCUGGGGGACGAGCAAGGACGGUACCUCAGGAAUAAGUCCCGGCUAACUACGUGCCAGCAGCCGCGGUAA